rnacentral:lncRNA from 1 species
UUCCAAUGGUGUCUUCUAUUUCACUGAAGAUAAAUUGCCAAAGCAAAGCAAAAUACAUUAAUUCCAAAGUGUAAUACUGAGAAGACAUGGAAACUGCAAUCUUCAGAAUUUACAUGUAAGAAAAGACUGAAAAAGUGUGGGUGAGUGUAUGGGGCAUGUUACAAUGGACUUAACCAAUGUUCAUCCACUAUUCAUAGCAAAAUCUUUCAAUGUAAUAAAUGUGUGAAAGUCUUUAGUAAAUCUUCAAUAAUAAAUAGACAUAAGACAUGCUGGACAUAUUGGAGAGAAAGAUUUUAAAUGUAAAAAAAGUAACAGAUUAUUUUAAAUGUCUUAAAUUGUAAGUCAACAUCAGAGAAUCAAUACCGGAUGGAAUCCCCACAAAUGUAAAUAAUGUGCCAAAGGCUUUAAUAAGUGCUCACACUUAACUGAAAAUAAGGGAAGUCAUAUUGGAGAGAAACAUUGCAAAUGUAAUGAAUGUAGCCAAGUGGUUAAAUCUUGCUCUACCCUUUCUAUUAUUAAGAGAAUUUAUGCUGAAAAGAAACCCAACGAAUGUGAAAGAUGUGGCAGAGUCUUUAAGUGGUCCUCAUCCCUUACUCAACAUAAGAGAAUUCAUCCUGGAGAGAAAUCUAUAAAUGUGACAAAUGUGACAUAGUCACAGUCUUCAAAUUUUACUAAACGUGUAAUACUUUGUAGUGGAGAGAAACCCUACAAAUGUGAAGAGUGUGGCCUUUAAAUUGUUGCUAUACUUUACUCAACGUAAGGACAUUCAUACUGCAGUGAAACCAUAUAAAUGGGUAAUAUGUGGCAGAGCUUUUAUAUGGUUUUCAUACCUUACUAGACAUCAGAUAACUCAUCCUGGAGAGAAAUUCUACAAAUGUGAAGAAUGUGGCAAAGCCUUUAAUCAGAGCUCACACCUUAAUGAACAUAAGAACAUUCAUACUGGAGGGAAACCCUGAAAAUGUAGAGUGGGACAAAGCCUUUAACACUCAAAUCUUGCUAAUCAUAAGGCAACUCACACCAAAUAGAAACCAUACAAAUGUAAAGAAUGUGCCAAAGCCUUUUACCAGUUCUUACACCUUACUGUACAUGAGGAAAUUUAAACCUGAGAAAAAUUUUACAGAUGUGAAGAAUGUGGCAAUGUCUGUAAUACCUGUUAUCUUACUUGAUAUGGAAGAGUUCAUACCGACUAGUAGUGUUAUAAAUGUAAUUACUGUCUAAAGACAUUUUACAAAAUACAAGCCUU